UAUUGGUCCUCUGAUAUGUCCUCCACAGGAGGUCUAUAUUGAGCAGAUUCUUUUUGGUGUUGGGUGGUGGAACCGGAGCUUGCUCCAUCCACUCCAUGCAUUGACCUGGUAUUCAAGUGUUUCCAGGACCGGUGC
rnacentral:snRNA from 1 species